rnacentral:rRNA from 1 species
GACGAACGCUGGCGGCGUGCUUAACACAUGCAAGUCGAACGGAAAGGCCCUGCUUUUGUGGGGUGCUCGAGUGGCGAACGGGUGAGUAACACGUGAGUAACCUGCCCUUGACUUUGGGAUAACUUCAGGAAACUGGGGCUAAUACCGGAUAGGAGCUCCUGCUGCAUGGUGGGGGUUGGAAAGUUUCGGCGGUUGGGGAUGGACUCGCGGCUUAUCAGCUUGUUGGUGGGGUAGUGGCUUACCAAGGCUUUGACGGGUAGCCGGCCCGAGAGGGUGACCGGCCACAUUGGGACUGAGAUACGGCCCAGACUCCUACGGGAGGCAGCGGUGGGGAAUAUUGCACAAUGGGCGGAAGCCUGAUGCAGCAACGCCGCGUGCGGGAUGACGGCCUUCGGGUUGUAAACCGCUUUCGCCUGUGACGAAGCGUGAGUGACGGUAAUGGGUAAAGAAGCACCGGCUAACUACGUG